AGACGCAGUGAACUGAAACAUCUAAGUAGCUGCAGGAAGAGAAAGCAAAAGCGAUUGCCUUAGUAGCGGCGAGCGAAACGGCAGAAGGGCAAACCGAAGAGUUUACUCUUCGGGGUUGUAGGACUGCAAUGUGGACUCAAAGAUUAUAGAAGAAUGAUUUGGGAAGAUCAGCCAAAGAGAGUAAUAGCCUCGUAUUUAAAAUAGUCUUUGUACCUAGCAGUAUCCUGAGUACGGCGGGACACGUGAAAUCCCGUCGGAAUCUGGGAGGACCAUCUCCCAACCCUAAAUACUCCCUAGUGACCGAUAGUGAACCAGUACCGUGAGGGAAAGGUGAAAAGCACCCCGGGAGGGGAGUGAAAUAGAACCUGAAACCGUGUGCCUACAACAAGUUCGAGCCCGUUAAUGGGUGAGAGCGUGCCUUUUGUAGAAUGAACCGGCGAGUUACGUUAUGAUGCGAGGUUAAGUUGAAGAGACGGAGCCGUAGGGAAACCGAGUCUGAACAGGGCGAAUUAGUAUCAUGACGUAGACCCGAAACCAUGUGACCUACCCAUGAGCAGGUUGAAGGUGCGGUAAGACGCACUGGAGGACCGAACCAGGGCACGUUGAAAAGUGCUUGGAUGACUUGUGGGUAGCGGAGAAAUUCCAAACGAACUUGGAGAUAGCUGGUUCUCUCCGAAAUAGCUUUAGGGCUAGCGUCGACAUUAGAGAUUCUUGGAGGUAGAGCACUGUUUGGGUGAGGGGUCCAUCCCGGAUUACCAAUCUCAGAUAAACUCCGAAUGCCAAUGAAUUAUGGUCGGCAGUCAGACUGCGAGUGCUAAGAUCCGUAGUCGAAAGGGAAACAGCCCAGACCACCAGCUAAGGUCCCAAAAUAAUUGUUAAGUGGAAAAGGAUGUGGGGUUGCACAGACAACUAGGAUGUUAGCUUAGAAGCAGCUAUUCAUUCAAAGAGUGCGUAAUAGCUCACUAGUCGAGUGACCCUGCGCCGAAAAUGUACCGGGGCUAAAACAAUUUACCGAAGCUGUGGAUACCUUUAUAGGUAUGGUAGGAGAGCGUUCUAUGUGUGAUGAAGGUAUACCGUGAGGAGUGCUGGAACGCAUAGAAGUGAGAAUGCCGGUAUGAGUAGCGAAAGACAGGUGAGAAUCCUGUCCACCGUAAGACUAAGGUUUCCAGGGGAAGGCUCGUCCGCCCUGGGUUAGUCGGGACCUAAGGAGAGACCGAAAGGUGUAUCCGAUGGACAACAGGUUGAUAUUCCUGUACUAGAGUAUGUAGUGAUGGAGGGACGCAGUAGGCUAACUAAAGCAGACGAUUGGAAGAGUCUGUCUAAGCAGUGAGGUGUGAAUUGAGUCAAAUGCUUAAUUCUAUAACAUUGAGCUGUGAUGGGGAGCGAAGUUUAGUAGCGAAGUUAGUGACGUCACACUGCCAAGAAAAGCUUCUAGCGUUUAAACAUACUCUACCCGUACCGCAAACCGACACAGGUAGUCGAGGCGAGUAGCCUCAGGUGAGCGAGAGAACUCUCGUUAAGGAACUCGGCAAAAUGACCCCGUAACUUCGGGAGAAGGGGUGCUGACUUUAGGUCAGCCGCAGUGAAUAGGCCCAAGCAACUGUUUAUCAAAAACACAGCUCUCUGCUAAAUCGUAAGAUGAUGUAUAGGGGGUGACGCCUGCCCGGUGCUGGAAGGUUAAGAGGAGUGCUUAGCGUAAGCGAAGGUAUGAAUUGAAGCCCCAGUAAACGGCGGCCGUAACUAUAACGGUCCUAAGGUAGCGAAAUUCCUUGUCGGGUAAGUUCCGACCCGCACGAAAGGCGUAAUGAUUUGGGCACUGUCUCAACGAGAGACUCGGUGAAAUUUUAGUACCUGUGAAGAUGCAGGUUACCCGCGACAGGACGGAAAGACCCCAUGGAGCUUUACUGCAGUUUGAUAUUGAGUGUCUGUACCACAUGUACAGGAUAGGUAGGAGUCUAAGAGAUCGGGACGCCAGUUUCGAAGGAGACGCUGUUGGGAUACUACCCUUGUGUUAUGGCCACUCUAACCCAGAUAGGUGAUCCCUAUCGGAGACAGUGUCUGACGGGCAGUUUGACUGGGGCGGUCGCCUCCUAAAAGGUAACGGAGGCGCCCAAAGGUUCCCUCAGAAUGGUUGGAAAUCAUUCGCAGAGUGUAAAGGUAUAAGGGAGCUUGACUGCGAGAGCUACAACUCGAGCAGGGACGAAAGUCGGGCUUAGUGAUCCGGUGGUUCCGUAUGGAAGGGCCAUCGCUCAACGGAUAAAAGCUACCCUGGGGAUAACAGGCUUAUCUCCCCCAAGAGUUCACAUCGACGGGGAGGUUUGGCACCUCGAUGUCGGCUCGUCGCAUCCUGGGGCUGUAGUCGGUCCCAAGGGUUGGGCUGUUCGCCCAUUAAAGCGGCACGCGAGCUGGGUUCAGAACGUCGUGAGACAGUUCGGUCCCUAUCCGUCGCGGGCGUAGGAAAUUUGAGAGGAUCUGCUCCUAGUACGAGAGGACCAGAGUGGACUUACCGCUGGUGUACCAGUUGUCUUGCCAAAGGCAUCGCUGGGUAGCUAUGUAGGGAAGGGAUAAACGCUGAAAGCAUCUAAGUGUGAAACCCACCUCAAGAUGAGAUUUCCCAUGAUUAUAUAUCAGUAAGAGCCCUGAGAGAUGAUCAGGUAGAUAGGUUAGAAGUGGAAGUGUGGCGACACAUGUAGCGGACUAAUACUAAUAGCUCGAGGACUUAUCCAA
rnacentral:rRNA from 1 species